UACGUAGGGGGCUAGCGUUGUCCGGAAUCAUUGGGCGUAAAGCGCGUGUAGGCGGUCCGGUAAGUCCGCUGUGAAAGUCGGGGGCUCAACCCUCGGAUGCCGGUGGAUACUGUCGAGCUUGAGUCCGGUAGGGGAGUGUGGAAUUCCUGGUGUAGCGGUGAAAUGCGCAGAUAUCAGGAGGAACACCGAUGGCGAAGGCAGCACUCUGGGCCGGCACUGACGCUGAGGAGCGAAAGCUAGGGGAGCAAACAGG
rnacentral:rRNA from 1 species